UUUUAUUAUAUUAUUUUAAUUUUUAUUGUUGAAUAAAUUAAUAAAAAAAUAUAUAUUAUAUUAAUUAAAAUUUUAAAAAAAUUAAAUAUUAAUUUUUAGUAAAAAAUAAAAAUUAUAUUUUAAUAUAAAUAGAAAUUUUGAUUAAAAUUAUUUUAUUUAAUUUAAUUAUUUUUUAUAAUAAUAUUAUUUUUUUAAAAAUAUUGAUUUAUUUUUUUUAAUUAUUUAAUUAUUAUUAUUAAUUAAAAUUAUUUUUUAUUAUAUAAUUUAUUUUUUAAAUUAAAUUUAAUAUAAAAUAUUUAUUAAAAUUUAAGGAUAUUUUAUUUAUAAUUUUUUUUUUCUACUCAAUGAUAUUUUUAAUUGUAUCUUUAGCGUGAUUGGUCAAAGGUA
rnacentral:rRNA from 1 species